UACGACCUUAUCACAUUGAAACACUGCUUCUCGCAAGAUCACCAAAGUUAAGCAACAUCGAGCCUGGUCACUACCUAUAUGGGUAACCACUUGGGAAUACCUGAUGCUGUAAG